rnacentral:rRNA from 1 species
GACAGAGGGUGCAAACGUUGUUCGGAAUUACUGGGCGUAAAGCGUGUGUAGGCGGUCUCAUAAGUCGGGUGUGAAAGCCCCGGGCUCAACCCGGGAAGUGCACUCGAAACUGCGAGGCUAGAGUACUGGAGAGGUUGGUGGAAUUCUCGGUGUAGAGGUGAAAUGCGUAGAUAUCUGGAGGAACACCGGUGGCGAAGGCGGCAUCCUGGACCACGACUGACACUGAAAAGCGAAAGCCAGGGGAGCAAACGGG